UAAACAUUAGAUUUUUUAGUGGACGGACGGUUGUUUACGGUGGUGACGUAAAAAUAUGUACUCCGAAACUGUAGGGGGAGCUCCAUACAGAAAAAGAAGGAAAAAGCGAUCAGACUUCUGGAGGAAGAUUGUGAGAUCGGACUGAAAAUCUCCACAACGGCUCUCACUGUGGUCACAUGACACAAGAAAAAUAAGAAUUAUUUGACCGACGUGUGUCAAAGCUACUGUUUCUGGGGUCACCACGGUCAAUACUGAGCUUCCUGAAAUGGAAUAACAUUGAGGCAGAGGGCAGAAUAUUAGGGCCACUAAAUAUUUCUCAGGUUAAAAUAUUAAAAUAAGAUUUCAGUCACAUGGUUUUAAGAAUACAAUUACAUUACAUUUCAAUAAAUGUGUCAUUAUGUGUGGAGAAUGUUUUUCUAACAGUCUUAAAGAGAGUUAAGUCGGAAUGUUUAUCGUUCUUCAGGUGAAAAUAUAGAGAAAUUCAUAUUUUAAGAAUAAAGCGAAUGAAAAGUUGUUAAAUAUUUCAAGAAAAUGGUGUUAGUGUUUUGAGAAUAAUAUACAGUAUAG